GAUGAACGCUGGCGGCGUGCCUAAUACAUGCAAGUCGAGCGAACAGACGAGGCGCUUGCUCCUCUGACGUUAGCGGCGGAGGGGUGAGUAACACGUGGAUAACCUACCUAUAAGACUGGGAUAACUUCGGGAAACCGGAGCUAAUACCGGAGAAUCUAUUGAACCGCAGGGUUCAAUAGUGAAAGACGGUUUUGCUGUAACUUAUCGCUGGAUAUGCGCCGCAUUAGCUAGUUGGUAAGGUAACGGCUUUCCAAGGCGACGAUGCGUAGCCCACCUGAGAGGGUGAUCGGCCACACUGGAACUGAGACACGGUCAAGACUCCUACGGGAGGCAGCAGUAGGGAAUCUUCCGCAAUGGGCGAAAGCCUGACGGAGCAACGCCGCGUGAGUGAUGAAGGUCUUCGGAUCGUAAUACUCUGUUAUUAGGGAAGAACAAAUGUGUAAGUAAAUAUGCACGUAUUGACGGUACCUAAUCAGAAAGCCCCGGCUAACUACGUG
rnacentral:rRNA from 1 species